GGCUUCUGCCCUACAGGUGGCAGCGUGUGAGCAGCCUGCGACCGGCGGCUCCCCGUCUUGUCUUCAGGGGUCCAAAGGAACCCGAGGGGAGGCAGCCGGGGCAGUGGACUUGAGGAGGGGCUGGUGGGGCCCGUGUCACUCUGCGCGCUGUCCCUGCUUGGGACAGGCCGCCAUUCCGGCUCUCCUGAGGACUUGGCGGUUUCCACUCUCUCUGUCGUUCUGCUCGAAACCCUUUACCUUAGCUUUGCUCUGGGAUUCAAGGCCAAAUGUGCCCGGCAGAAAUCCGUGGAUAAAGCAGUCUCGAAGCAUCCAGCACCCCCCAUCUCCCGCCCGCGCUCACUGAUCCACUGUUUAUCCACACCCUUUGAAGAGCCCUCUGCGAAGCCGCUCUCCUGCCAGAUCCCCUGACUUUUAAAAAUUCCAACUCCGGGGCGAGGAUAUAGCUCGGUGUCAGAACGCUUGCCUACCGUGCUGCAGGCCCUGGGUUCCUCCCCUGCUGUCAAGAGGAGAGAAAAUGAAUCAGUUUCUUUUCAUUUAUGUGUGACUGCUGCAUAGCAAGUUUAACUUCCCUGAGCUUUCUUCCAGAAUGAAAGGACACAUCCUGCAGAGUUGUAACAUGGACCUGUGAAAUCGCUGGCUUGGUGCCUAGCAUAUGAAGGCUCUCCUGGGAGGCCUCCUGUUCCUGGUCACAUUUGUGAUGUCAUGCAGUGCCCACUGCUUUACCAUACCCAUGGUGAGAGGUGAAGGUGACUCCUCUGCUAAAUGCAAGGAUCUUGAUGAAAUCACACACUCAAUGAACUCAGAGUGGGAGACUAGGAACUGUGGCAAAUGUUCUUGUGAUGAAGAUGGAAUUCACUGCUGCACUAUGUUCAAGAACUCUGUCAUGGAGACAAGAUGAAGGCCUGUUAGAAGAACUAGGGUACCAGCCAUCCCACUCUGCCACCCAGCACAGCUCUGUGCAUGAAACAGCUCACACUGCUGUUGACUGGGAGCUCCUCACUGACUGACACCAUGCCUUGGCCCAUAUCCUUACAGCAGGUUCUGAGGAAACCUAGACUGAUCUCUACCAUGGAGUCAUAGAUCAGGCCUUACACGGGUGCCACAUUCCUCCCUGCAUGCACAGAAUACACAAGACAUUCUGACUGUCCAGGGCAGCGCUGCCACAUGUGGGACAGAAAGCCUGUCUACCCAUCCAUCCUAGUGCUCAGGAAGUGACCAGCAUGGAAGAUGCUGGAAUGUGGGAGGGAGGGGUAUCCCUGCCAUGCAUUGUGCUCUGUUACCAGAAGAGAUAACUCCAUCAUCAGGAACAAGGAGAAAUCUCAGACCAGGGAUACAGUCCUCAGGGAAAUGAUCAAACUGGGGUCAGCUUUUUGGGAAAUUCCAACCCAUAGUCCAGGUGCACAGCAUAGAGCUUAUUACCCCAUUGAGGCCCACCCCAAAGGUGUAAAAAGUCUUAAGUGUACAGAAGCAGAUAACUUAGGACAAUGUUUUCAUCCACGAGUUGAUCCUGGAAUUUGACUUUGACAAAAGAACAUUUUCAUCCUCUUCCUCACCCAUCCAAAGCAGUGUGGCUCCUCAGUAUUCCCUCCAUGGCCCCCUAGACACUGACUCUUUCAGCCUUUGGUUAUGCACUGAAGAAGACUGCAGAUAGCUGCUUAUAGGGGCCAAGACAUUCAGCAUUGACCCAGGGGAUCAGACAUGAGAGACACCUCUGGGGACAUCAUCCUUCUGGUGGAAACAAACUCUGGAAUUGUGCCUUGUGGGCUAAGAUCCUGCUUUAAUUAAGACUAAGCAUUUGUUCAGUUGAACUAGAAAAUGUUCUGAAAGGCUUUUAUGUGAAGGAAGAGUGAUGAAGCUAGACUAUUAACUUGAAUAAUAACACCACAAAGUUAUAAUAAAUGGUUUGACAUCCAGUACACAAAAGGGUGUCUAAGAAGUAUGAUAAAAUCUUAAUGAUUAUUACUUUUUAAUAGAGGAACUAUAACUAGAAGAGGAUCAUUUGUACCUUCCAAUAGUCAAUUAAUGUGGUUUUUAUAGCACAUAUAAGAAAAUGUCAUUUAAGUUCUAAAACUCAGAAGUGGUUGUUUCCAGUUUGGAUGUGAGAUGGUACAGCCACAGAGGAAGAUGCCUCAAUAGUUUCUCAAGUGUGAGAUCCACAGUUCCCUAUGGCCCAGCAAGUCCUCUCCCAGGGAGAGCCCUAAAAAUAUGUAUCAGAGACACAAGCAAACUUUUAUGAUCCCAUUUUAGUGAGUAUAAAUGAAAGUGCAGGUGUCCCAAACUCCCUGCCCACACAAAUAAGUAAACCUAGUGUGGGGUUUCAAUGCCCAGGGCUAUUGCUGUGGCAUGGAGGAAAGAAGCUCUAACAGGCUGAUGGCAGAAACGAGCCCACACAGCAGACAAGCAUCCUGGGGAUCUACUGACAUGAAUGAACUAGAAGAGGCAAAGUCACUGAGACAGAUUUGAGGAUCCCAGGAAUGGACAGGAAGUGGGUAUGGAAAUUAGAGAUUAAUGGGUACAUUAUUUCUGUUUGGAGUCAUUACAGACUUUUGGAAAAAGCCAGGCAUUGUGGAGUACACCAGUUACCUCAGUUGCUCAGGAUAUUGAAGAGGAAGGAGUGAAUAUUGAAGGCCAGCAUGGAAGAAACACUAGGAUGAAGCCAAACUAAUGCAAAUACAAAGCAACAAAAAUCUAAUAUAAAAAGUUUUGGAAAUAGUGGAGAUGGUUAAACAAUACAGCAAAUGUUCUCAAUGCCAGUUAAUUAUAUAUCUGAAAGCAGUUAAAUUGAAAAAUUUAUAUACUACAUAUUUUAUUUCAACAGAAAUUAAUUAAAGUUAAACUACUAUUUAUGGAAUGAUGCCUAAUCAUUACCAUGUGUUUGGCAGGUAAUCAACAUGCAUAAUUUUGUCAUCUGUGUACAGGACACAGAGCCCAUCACUAGAUGCAAACUUAAUCCCACCCAGAACUACCAUGGGAGAGAGAACAUCCCAGGGAGACUGAGGGGGAGCUCACAGACAUCAGGCAAUCAGACGCCCUGACCUGGCUGCUGGGUGACCUUGGUUCUGUGCCUCCCUCACUGUGUUCCUGGAGCUCAGCCUGGAUGGGGCUGGGCCUGGGCCUAAAGGCACUGAAUACAUGGGCAUCUGAGCAGUGUUCUGCAUGUGGACUAUGGCUCCAGAUAUUGUCUUAGAGAUGCUUAACCAAAUAAAUACUGUGUGAUACCCAUAAUAAAAAAGACAGAUUAUGAGAAAACAGA